AGUAAACGCUGGCGGUAGGCCUAACACAUGCAAGUCGAACGGCAGCACAGUAAGAGCUUGCUCUUACGGGUGGCGAGUGGCGGACGGGUGAGGAAUACAUCGGAAUCUACUUUUUCGUGGGGGAUAACGUAGGGAAACUUACGCUAAUACCGCAUACGACCUACGGGUGAAAGCAGGGGAUCUUCGGACCUUGCGCGAUUGAAUGAGCCGAUGUCGGAUUAGCUAGUUGGCGGGGUAAAGGCCCACCAAGGCGACGAUCCGUAGCUGGUCUGAGAGGAUGAUCAGCCACACUGGAACUGAGACACGGUCCAGACUCCUACGGGAGGCAGCAGUGGGGAAUAUUGGACAAUGGGCGCAAGCCUGAUCCAGCCAUACCGCGUGGGUGAAGAAGGCCUUCGGGUUGUAAAGCCCUUUUGUUGGGAAAGAAAAGCAGCAGGUUAAUACCCCGCUGUUCUGACGGUACCUAAAGAAUAAGCACCGGCUAACUUCGUG
rnacentral:rRNA from 1 species